ACGCUCGACACCUACGGGAGGCUGCAGUGGGGAAUAUUGGGCAAUGGGCGCAAGCCUGACCCAGCAACGCCGCGUGAAGGAAGAAGGCUUUCGGGUUGUAAACUUCUUUUGUCAGGGAAGAGCAGAAGACGGUACCUGACGAAUAAGCCACGGCUAACUACGUGCCAGCAGCCGCGGUAAUCUGAGCGGGCUGGCAAGGC
rnacentral:rRNA from 1 species